GCAACACGGCCUCCAGGUCUUUGGGGAAAACAAGUUCAGUGAAGUAGUCUGGGUUGAAGAAGCAUCUUGCAGUCUACUGAGUAUGCAGAGCUGAGGAAUAGAUGGACUCCAAGAAUCUAAACCACUUUUCAAUAAAUGUCUGCUGUCUCAGUUAGUAGAAGUCUGCUUCCAACUUCUCCCCUUGUGUUUUCAACAACUUCCUGUCUUCAGGUAAGAGCAUCCACUUUUACUUAGGGAACUUACCCUAGUGCAUUGAAGAUUGUUGGCCAAGACUGUCAAUAGAGAGGUUGCUGCCCUUCUAGUGUUGGUCAUGUGACCCAGGCUAAGCCAAUCAGAUUAUUUCUCCCUGGACUACAGCUGGAGGUGGUUCUUGCAGAGAAAGAAAAAUAGUGAAGUUUCUUUGAGGGGUUUUCUGUUACUUCUUGUUGCCUAGAUCUUUG
rnacentral:lncRNA from 1 species